UGCAGAUAUUAAUCUUUCAUCAUGUUCAGAUCUGUUGUUACAGUAGGCCUAGGAGCUUGAGAAAGGUCGAUGACAGAGAUAUAGAUAACAAGAGAUACCGGUUACCAAAUAGAAACAAAAAUUAACCAGUAUUUUGUAAUUCAUUCUAAAUGAAAACAAAGUGAUUUUUACAGUUCAUGGAACGUUAUGAAUAUUUGAGGAAUGAUCCUUAUUAUGGAAAAGCCAUCCUCUAUUACUGUAUCUUAAAAUGCAAACAAACUUUCAAGCAAAAUAUAGAGUAUUGAAUAAGAUUGGUGAAGGCACAUUUUCUGAAGUUUUAAGAUGUCAAAACCGAGAGAGCGGACACCUGGUAGCAGCAAAACGACUCAGGAAGUCUUUUUUGAGUCCGUCCGAGGCAAGAGAUCUACCAGAGGUUGUUGCACUGAAAAAAGUGUCUGAUCAUCCCAACAUUCUUCAUUUGAUAGAAACUCAUUUUGAGCACGAACAUUGUAGAGUAACCCUAAUUUUUGAACUAAUGGACAUGAGCAUUUAUGAUAUGAUGAAAACUCAUAGAAGAAACAUCCCAGAAGUUAAAGUGAAAAAUUAUUUGUACCAGAUUCUGAAAGGCAUUAAUCAUCUUCAUAUCAACGGACUAUUCCACAGAGACAUCAAGCCUGAGAACAUACUGAUCAAGGGCGACCUGAUAAAGAUAGCGGACCUGGGUUCGGUGUGCGGGACGUUUCGGCACCGUCCCUUCACCGAGUACAUCUCUACCAGAUGGUAUCGCUCGCCUGAGUGUCUGCUCACCUGUGGCUACUAUGAUUCCAAAAUGGACAUAUGGUCUGUCGGAUGCGUCUUCUUUGAACUCCUCACAUUGAAACCUCUGUUUCCUGGCUCAAACGAAUUGGAUCAGAUAUCAAGAAUACAUAUGAUACUGGGUACACCCAGCCCCCUAUUGCUGAAUAAAUUCAAGAAACACAAAAGCCAGAACAUCGACGUAAUAUUCCCUCAAAGGGCAGGAACGGGUCUGACUUGCCUCCUUCCCAAUGUCAGUGAUAGCGGAAGGGACAUUUUAAAAAAUAUGUUGACCUAUGACCCAAGAAUCCGUUCAUCAGCUGCUAGACUCCUCGAUAAUCGCUAUUUCAAUGAUCUAAGAGAUGCUGACAUUUUAAGAAGAAGAUUAACUUCGAAUUCGACUGUGCAUUCGGAAAGGAGCAAUCCAGUUCUUCUAAGUUUCAUGGCAACUGAGAAAAGAAGAAGACCAAAGCCUUCAAGCGGAAUGGUUUCCAAGCACACUGUUCCAAAGAAAGAAAAACUCAAUAUUAAGUUAGAAAAAUUGCCGAAAAUCAAUUUGGAUCAAAAUUUACAUUUGUCAAGAGAUAUCAGAUCAACAAAAAGCAAGCUAUUGAAGACAUUAUUUUCAGAAAGAGCCAAAAACAGACUCAUCAUUCAAGAAUGAUGGAAAAAUAAGUCCUAAAUCCGUUAGUUCAAAUUUCACCAGUUCUUUCAAAAGUUCAAACAAUAAUUCCAGGGAUAAAGUUUUUUACCGCCAAAUACCUAAAAAACCAAGUUUACUACCGACUAUUUCUGGAGUUAGGAAAAUUGGGAAUAAACCACAAAAGAAUUCAUUGGAAAAUUUAACAAAUAUUGCAAAUAAAAAGCCUCUUUUGCAAAGACUCAAUCUUGAACCGAUCGAAGAAGAGAAAAAAUCUACAGCGUCUGAUACAAGAAGCCAUAUGUCUUGGAAAAAUUAUUAAUAAUGGAAAAUUUGGUUGCCAAAUUGUCUAGCAAGAUUUGCCAAAUGCAUGGAAAAUUUAAUGCAUUUGAAUUAAAACUUGAUAAUGUGGUAUUUUUAAUAAACUGUGCAUUAUCAAAAACAAUAAGCCUGACUGAUUGUCUACAUAUCUAUCAUACAGUGUACAUUGUAUGGUAUUUAAAUCUUGGAUACCUUAAUACAUUAGGUAUUAUCUAGAAUUUUAUAUUAAUUUUUAAUAGGGACUAAUAAAUCUAGAUACAUCCAAGCUCGGUCAAGACAUUUGAAGAUGGUCAAACCGGGAUCAAUUUACAAGUGUGCAGUGGAAUUAUUGUAACUAUAUCGUAAAUAGUAGCUAUUGUCAUGGAAAUCAUACGUUGCAGUGCACUCGUUGUAAACCGUACCUGAUUAGACUAUGUUCAAAUAUUUGACCGAGCUUGUUGAAA